rnacentral:rRNA from 1 species
CAGCAGGCCACGCAAAUUACCCACUCCCGGCACGGGGAGGUAGUGACAAAAAUAACGAUACGGGACUCUUAUGAGGCCCCGUAAUCGGAAUGAGUACACUUUAAAUCCUUUAACAAGGAUCCAUUGAAGGGCAAGUCUGGUGCCAGCAGCCGCGGUAAUUCCAGCUUCAAUAGCGUAUAUUAAAGUUGUUGCGGUUAAAAAGCUCGUAGUUGGUUCUGCGUGCUACGCUGUCGGUUCGCCGCCUGCCGGUGUAACUGGCAUGUCGUGGCAUGUCCUGUCGGUGGCGUGCGGGAGCCUCGUCUAGGCGACGGCCCUUGCCAAAAGCUUGGUGUCCGGAGGCCGGAGGUCCAACCCGUGCGCCUACUCUAUCCUACCUAGGUGCUCUUCACCGAGUGUCGAGGUAGGCCGACACGUUUACUUUGAACAAAUUAGAGUGCUCAAAGCAGGCUGAAAUCUCUGCCUGAAUAGUGGUGCAUGGAAUAAUAAAACAGGACCUUGGUUCUAUUUUGUUGGUUCUUAGGAACACAAGGUAAUGAUCAAUACGGACAGGCGGGGGCAUUCGUAUUGCGACGUUAGACUUGGCAAAUGCUUUCGCGGUGAAAUUCUUGGAUCGUCGCAAGACGCACAAGAGCGAAAGCAUUUGCCAAGUAUGUCUUGAUUGAUCAAGAACGAAAGUUAGAGGUUCGAAGGCGAUCAGAUACCGCCCUAGUUCUAACCAUAAACGAUGCCAGCCAGCGAUCCGCCGAUGUUCCUCCGAUGACUCGGCGGGGAGCUUCUUCCCGGGAAACCAAAGCUUUUGGGUUCCGGGGGAAGUAUGGUUGCAAAGCUGAAACUUAAAGGAAUUGACGGAAGGGCACCACCAGGAGUGGAGCCUGCGGCUUAAUUUGACUCAACACGGGAAACCUCACCAGGCCAGGACAUUGGAAGGAUUGACAGAUUGAUAGCUCUUUCUUGAUUCAGUGGGUAGUGGUGCAUGGCCGUUCUUAGUUGGUGGAUCGAUUUGUCUGGUUAAUUCCGAUAACGAACGAGACUCUAGCCUAUUAACUAGGCGUUUACCAGUGUCCCCGCCACUGGCGACACUCAUUCUUCUUAAGGGGACAGGCGGCGUAUAGCCGCACGAGAUUGAGCAAUAACAGGUCUGUGAUGCCCUUAGAUGUCCUGGGCCGCACGCGCGCUACACUGAAGGAAUCAGCGUGUGCCUCCCUGGCCGAAAGGCCCGGGUAAUCCGCUGAACCUCCUGCGUGCUAGGAAUUGGGGCUUGCAAUUGUUCCCCAUGAACGAGGAAUUCCCAGUAAGCGCGAGUCAUAAGCUCGCGUUGAUUACGUCCCUGCCCUUUGUACACACCGCCCGUCGCUACUACCGAUUGAAUGAUUUAGUGAGGUCUUCGGACUGGCGGUAAUCCCUACCGACUUGUCGAUAUCGAUGAACGCUGGAAAGAUGACCAAACUUGAUCAUUUAGAGGAAGUAAAAGUCGUAACAAGGUUUCCG